rnacentral:lncRNA from 1 species
AUUUACAGUUUCUUUUGUUACUACUUACAGAUACAGGAAGUUCCUGACCUAUCUACAGAGUCUUUACAGUCGACGUGAGAGUUGGGCUCUCAGCUAUAGGAGGGACUUGCCAACACGUGGCAACCAAACAAAUAACUAUGUGGAGGCUGCAAUGCGUGUCUUGAAAGACAAAAUACUUCAAAGGACAAAAGCAUUCAACCUGCCUCAAUUAUUCAACCUUUUCAUCACCCGACUAGAGAUGUACUAUAAAGCACGUGUGACAGACGUUGCACUUGGCCAUUGGGAGGCAUUCCACCGGUCAAGAUUACUUGCUACACAAAGUAAUAUAAAAGCAUCUGAUAUUUCUCAGGUUGGAGAAAAGACAUUUCAGGUGAGAUCGUCCACAUCAGGGCACACCUAUACAGUGGACAUGGAGUUGGAGCUCUGCACUUGUCCAGUUGGCCAUAGUGGGGCACCAUGCAAACACCAGGCAGCAGUAGUGCAAAAUUACAACAUCACCUCCAUCAACUUUCUCCCCACAACAGCUGAAAUGAGGGCUAAGCUGCUGAAAAUAACAAAAGAGUCACAUCAGCUGGACCUGUCUUCCACCAGCUCUGCACAAUUGCGCCAAACAUCACCUAUGCAAGAGGACUCAUACUCCAACCAACCCUGUGUACAGGUUAACUCAGAGGGAGGUGAGACCAUGAAGCUUAGAGUUAUAUUAAAAAUUCUGUCUAGAUGUUUAUUUGGGCCAAGCACCUUUUUCUAAGUUUUCCCCCCCAAUGUUUCGGGGCAUUUUGGGGUCCUUAAAGGGAUAGUUCACCCUAAAAUGGUUAUUGGUUGGUAAUCAAACAGUUGCUGGUAGCCAUCGACUUCCAUAAUACUUUUCCCAUGCUAUGUAAGUUUGGAACAACAUUAUGGUGAGUAAAUGAUGACAGAUCUUUUUUUUUAUUUAUUUUUUUUAC